CCUACGGGAGGCAGCAGUGAGGAAUAUUGGUCAAUGGACGAGAGUCUGAACCAGUCAAGUAACGUGAAGGAUGACUGCCCUAUGGGUUGUAAACUUCUUUUAUAUGGGAAUAAAAUGUUCCACGUGUGGGAUUUUGUAUGUACCAUAUGAAUAAGGAUCGGCUAACUCCGUGCCAGCAGCCGCGGUAAUACGGAGGAUCCGAGCGUUAUCCGGAUUUAUUGGGUUUAAAGGGAGCGUAGGUGGAUUGUUAAGUCAGUUGUGAAAGUUUGCGGCUCAACCGUAAAAUUGCAGUUGAAACUGGCAGUCUUGAGUACAGUAGAGGUGGGCGGAAUUCGUGGUGUAGCGGUGAAAUGCUUAGAUAUCACGAAGAACUCCGAUUGCGAAGGCAGUUCACUGGACUGCAACUGACACUGAGGCUCGAAAGUGUGGGUAUCAAACAGGAUUAGAUACCACUGUAGUC
rnacentral:rRNA from 1 species